rnacentral:lncRNA from 1 species
AAAUGCAUCAUUCCAUUAAGGACUGAAUGUGAUGAAAAUAAAAUUAUUAGUCUUAAUUAAAAAAAUAAAAAAACAAAAAGGAUCUAAUUGAAACAGAUGUUAAAUGCGGAAGGACCACGAUGGAAAUUCUCUCAUUUUAAAAGAAAACACGCGAAUCCCUGGGUGCGGGUCGGGUCACGCGCAGGUUAUGCAAAACGGCGUCGUUUUGGCUCUAAGUCCCCCAGGUGAAACGACGUCGUUUUAUAUGUGCUAUAAAAGCCAAAAUUUAUUCAAAAUUUCUCAUUUCUCC